AAACCCAUGAAAUGAAAGAAAAAAACAAAUCAUCUAUAAAAAAAGAGUACUGCAUUUUAAUAAGCACUACUAAAUUAAAUUGAAAAUCCUAAUAAAAAUUAUUAAAUAAAAAAAUUGAAAGCAAAAUGAGCGGAGAAAAACCCCAUAGAAAAAAAAACCAAGCAAUAGACAAAAAAAAUCAAGACUAAUAAAAUCGGGAUAAAAUUUCACCAAGUGAAUAAUUGAUAAGAAACUUCAAGAGAACGAGAGGGAGGUGAGUUGAUAAGUUAUUUGACAUCUUAAAUUGUAUAGAAAGGAAUAAGCAGUAACGUUGUUAUUUGAUAGGUAAUUUUCAGAAUACGAGAUCAC
rnacentral:lncRNA from 1 species